GCUCUGGUGUAGCGGUAACACGCGCCAUCUAAUGGGAACAACGAAUUAUUGUUAAGGCGCGCUCGGCGGUUCGACUCCGCCCUAGAGCA